GAAUGAUUUAAAUAAUGUGUGGAAUUAUACAAAUUAUCAUUGCCGCAGCAAUUCUCUAUAAUCAAGGCUAAAGAUGUAUAGAUUGUGGCAAUUUUGUAACGUGAUUAUCAGCCCAAACGUUAUUGUGUCUUGGCAUAGCCCUAAUUGCGGCUGUCAACUGCCGGUCGUUUGGUUGUCCUUCCAGGGAAGACAUUGGAUGCGUAAGUCCUCUUCCGUGCCCGCCUGAUAGACCAUAUUUAAUGACGUCAUACAUUACGUCGUCGCAGUGUCCAGCUUGCCAGUUCUGUGUAGAAUCACUUGAUACAUGUCCUUCACUGCCUUGUCCGAUGAUUCAUGUACCAGAAGGGUGCUCAGCUGAAUUGUUCGGUGUUGAAAUUCGAGUUGAUGAGACAGUAUGCUGGGAGUGUCAUAACGUGAAACUCACGUGUUAAGAGGAUAUUGUAAUAGCUAUCAAGAGCGACCAGGCACCUGAAUUCAAAUUAAUGGAAAUGGAUUAAAACUGCUGUAUUCUAUUUCAAAUAUAUUCUGUCAUGUAACAUAGUUAUUGCGUUAUAAUGACUCAGUGCCAUCAGAUAACUCCUACAAUUUUGUUUUGAGUUAAAACAGUGAAAAAAUGUCAAAUAAGAUGUCUUAUGGCUGUUCCAUAGAAGCUGCUAUGUAGGUCAACAAGGAAUAUAUCCUAGGUGAUCGCAUCGCAUAAUAAUCAAAGCCUUUAGACAUCUUGUGUGGGCACAUUUAUGGUAGAUUUAUUUUCUGUUUUAUCGCUCUGUUUUGUACAGCAAUGCCAUUUAUUAACAAAAAAAGAGAACGCAGAGAAUACUUGGAUUUGCAUUUUGCCUAUUAAAAAUGUCAUGUCACCUUACAAAAUGUAACUUUAUGAAACAGAAACAACAAGCAGUUUGCAUGCCUAUGAAAUGUUAAUAUUCACCAUCUUUAUUUAUAAAUAUCUCGCGUAUAUUAACAAUGAUAUCAUUCUGAUCUAUUUGUAACACUCUAUUUGUAACAAAGCAAAUACCAAACUAUUAAAAUACAUGUAUGAGAAACAAA
rnacentral:lncRNA from 1 species